UACGGAGGGUGCAAGCGUUAUCCGGAUUUACUGGGCUUAAAGGGUGCGCAGGCGGCUAUGUAAGUCAGUGGUGAAAUCUCUGGGCUUAACCCGGAAAUUGACAUUGAUACUAUAUAUCUUGAAUGCUGUGGAGGUAAGCGGAAUAUGUCAUGUAGCGGUGAAAUGCUUAGAUAUGACAUAGAACACCUAUUGCGAAGGCAGCUUACUACGCAGAUAUUGACGCUCAUGCACGAAAGCGUGGGGAUCAAACAGG
rnacentral:rRNA from 1 species